rnacentral:lncRNA from 1 species
CUUUAUUUGCAUUAUACCGAAAAUAAUCGUGAAAUGAAUAUGUAUAUGUUUAUGUAAUUGAUCAAUUGUCAGGACAAAGGAUAUUAGUACCACCCUAAGAUAGGUGGGAUUCAAUGAGGCUUUAUGUCUCAUCCCACUCCUUUUUAUUUUUUUUCAGAUAAGCAGAUUAAACGAGUCAGGGGUAAGAAGAAACUAAGGAUUGAAGAUGGAAGAUUUUAUUACAUUAGUUUCUUCCUUGCUUUGUUAGAUUAGUCNNNNNNNNNNNNNNNNNNNNNNNNNNNNNNNNNNNNNNNNNNNNNNNNNAUUUACCAUUGUGUAAUGGAACUUUCAUUUCCUUGUACCUGAUAUAGAAUUUAGGUACUUGUUUCUUUUGAACAAGCUAUUCUAUAAAUUUUAAUGUAUCUGAACCUAAAUUUUGUAUAUCUUGGUCAAUAUUCUAGACAUUUGACAUUUGGAUGUUACAAGGAGGUCAUUGAACUUAUAUAGUUUUACUGUGCUUAUGUUAUUGAAAAUCAUAAUCCGUUUCCAUGUUGAUAUUUGAAGGUAGNNNNAAUCGUUUAACAGAACUUUCAUGUUUAUUAAACUUUAUUGUGAGAAUCCUUUAUUUACAUAUGGUGAGAUAGUACUAAUUUCCCAGUCUAUCAUAAUUGUUAAAUGACAAAAGUCAAAUAGUUUUAUUAAUCGCAGAGUAUAUGGCUGUCCCAUUUUAUAUCAAGCAUACUUUUGUUAAUUUUGUUCUACCAUCAAAGAAGAAUUUUGCAGGGUAUAUGUAGUGGUUUACUUUCUUCAUUCCCAACAUGAAUUCUAUUAUAGGGUAAAUAUUAACUUUAAGUUGUUUUGGACCUUAAUUUUAAUGUGAAGGAUGAGAAGCCAACCAACCGGUAGUUUGCAGAAUCUGUUCAGAUGAAGGGGAAACCAAUCACACAUAACACAAAUUUCUAUGGUUAGAUAAAAUUUGUAAAUUUCCAUCUCCUUUUAACACUUACAUUAAAUAAUGCUCUAUUACUUCCAUCUCAUUUUAAUAUUUCUCUAAUAGUAGUGAUAAUAGUAUAUCCUCUUAUGGUAUGAUUCUAGCUCUUUGU